rnacentral:rRNA from 1 species
GACGAACGCUGGCGGCGUGCUUAACACAUGCAAGUCGAUCGAAGUGGCGAACGGGUGAGUAACGCGUAAUAAACCUGCCCUUCAGAGGGGAACAACAGGUGGAAACGACUGCUAAUACCGCAUACUGAAGGAGGGGAUUGCGACUGAUUAGCUAGUUGGAGGUGUAACGGCCCACCAAGGCGAUGAACAGGAGCCGGCCUUAGAGAAUGAAAGGCCAGAUUGGAACUGGGACACGGCCCAGGCGCCGACGGGAGGCAGCAGUGGGGAAUCUUCCGUAAUGGACGAAAGUCUGACGGAGCAUGGCCGCGUGAUUGAUGACGGCCUUCGGGUUGUAAAGCUCUGUUAAUCGGGACGCGGUAACGGAAUAGAAAGCCACGGCUAACUACGUGCCCGCAGCCGCGGUAAUUC